rnacentral:sRNA from 1 species
CAGUGGUUGCUGAAUUAGAGUUUGACAGCGUAAAUCCACCGCCCGACACGAUCGAAGAGG